CAGUCGCCGCGGUAAUACAGAGGCCUCAAGCGUUGUUCGGAUUCAUUGGGCGUAAAGGGUGCGUAGGCGGUUCCGUAAGUCGGAUGUGAAAUCCUGGGGCUCAACCCCAGAACUGCAUUCGAUACUGCGGGGCUAGAGGACUGGAGAGGAGAGUGGAAUUCACGGUGUAGCAGUGAAAUGCGUAGAUAUCGUGAGGAAGACCAGCGGCGAAGGCGGCUCUCUGGACAGUUCCUGACGCUGAUGCACGAAGGCCAGGGGAGCAAACGGGAUUAGAGACCCCAGUAGUCCCUGUCUCUUAUAC
rnacentral:rRNA from 1 species